rnacentral:lncRNA from 1 species
CAGCCAUGUCCAUUUUUCCCAGGUAGCAGGGAUAAAGGGAAUGUUCUUGGCUAACAAGAAGAUUGACAACCAAGUGAAGACCUUCAUCACAUACAACAAAGGCAGAGACUGGCGUUUGCUGCAGGCACCAGACACAGAUCUCAGAGGGGACCCUGUACAUUGCUUGCUGCCCUAUUGCUCACUACACCUUCACCUGAAAGUCUCUGAGAAUCCCUACACAUCAGGAAUCAUUGCCAGCAGAGACACAGCUCCAAGCAUCAUAGUUGCUUCAGGUAAUAUAGGUUCUGAACUGUCAGACAGCGACAUCAGUAUGUUUGUCUCUUCAGAUGCAGGGAACACUUGGAGGCAGGUAAGAAAAGGCCCUGGGUUGUAUUGCAGAAGUUUAAAUAGCAUAAAAAUUGUUCAGUUUGGUUCAAGUCUAGGAGCUUAUUUAGCAGUGGUACAUUCUACACAUGAAUCCUAAAACAUACUACGUGGGUUUUUAAAA